CUCGAGCUCCCAGUGCUCGCUCUCGUCUUACCUUGCACCACCUUCGACAUAAACUUACUCCACUAGUAUAUAAGCUUGCCUGAUCUUCCCAAGCGAAUAUACCUCUGUCCUAUACCAUACGCCAACAGACAAGUGUCAAGAGGUAUAUCAUACAUAUAUCUCAUUGCUUAGUUAAACUACGGCUUUCUAUCUCGUCUCCAAGGCCGGACCUUGUUGGGGACGAGUCGUAACAGGGUGAUAGGUCAGCUGGGUAUCUUUUAGAGAGCCCGAAAUGUAUCAAAGCCGGCGGUGCUAUCGGUAUCAUUACGGCCAUCCUUGGAGCCUAUACAAGCCUGGCGGAACUCGUGACGGCCGAUACCGGUUUUUUCCGAGUUCCUGUUGGGAAUUUGGCGCCUAAAGAUCAUUAACUUGAGAUCCACCAUUAGUUAUGAAUUGGCCUUAAUCGGAAGUGGUGAUCGGUAUUGUAUUUAAGAACAAGGUCAAAAGGCUAUUUAUUAUCACCGGGAUUGUUGUUAUUUCCCAAGGAAUAUGUAAAGCAGAAUAAAGGAAG
rnacentral:sRNA from 1 species